UGCUCUGUAGGGGCAAUGGAUAACGCAUUGGACUUCUAAUCCGAAGGUGAUGGAUUCGAAUUCCAUCUGGGUUG